UAUCCGUGGGUUCACUGCAUCACGCACAAAUCUUUCGCCUUUUACUAAAGAUUUCCGUGCAGAGGACCAAUAAGAUCGGAAUUAAUAAUUUAUUUCUGCCUUGUUUUCGGAUGAGGC
rnacentral:snRNA from 1 species